rnacentral:rRNA from 1 species
UACGAAGGGGGCUAGCGUUGCUCGGAAUUACUGGGCGUAAAGCGCACGUAGGCGGUCUUUUAAGUCGGGGGUGAAAUCCUGGAGCUCAACUCCAGAACUGCCUUCGAUACUGGAAGACUCGAGUCCGGGAGAGGUGAGUGGAACUGCGAGUGUAGAGGUGAAAUUCGUAGAUAUUCGCAAGAACACCAGUGGCGAAGGCGGCUCACUGGCCCGGUACUGACGCUGAGGUGCGAAAGCGUGGGAGCA